rnacentral:lncRNA from 1 species
AGAAGCAUGCUAUAAGACAUGGUCAAUCAAGAUGGGAUUUGCCCCUCUCUGAUUGAGAGUGAUAUCUCUGGGCCCCUCGAGUGAUCGGAUCCGAAAAUGCAUGGCCAUGCUACAUACGGUUAAGAGUUAACCUACGAAGGGAUACCGAAUCUUAGGAUCGAGAAAGAGCGGUUGGCUUGAAGCUAGACCAAAUAUCGUGAGGCAAAGGGAAUAGCAUGUAUAUAAUGUUGUGAUGGUUCAUC